GAUGAACGCUGGCGGCGUGCCUAAUACAUGCAAGUCGAGCGAACAGACGAGGAGCUUGCUCCUCUGACGUUAGCGGCGGACGGGUGAGUAACACGUGGAUAACCUACCUAUAAGACUGGGAUAACUUCGGGAAACCGGAGCUAAUACCGGAUAAUAUAUUGAACCGCAUGGUUCAAUAGUGAAAGACGGUUUUGCUGUCACUUAUAGAUGGAUCCGCGCCGCAUUAGCUAGUUGGUAAGGUAACGGCUUACCAAGGCGACGAUGCGUAGCCGACCUGAGAGGGUGAUCGGGCAAAACGGAACUGAGAAACGGGCCCGACUCCUAAGGGAGGCAGCAGUAGGGAAUCUUCCGCAAUGGGCGAAAGCCUGACGGAGCAACGCCGCGUGAGUGAUGAAGGUCUUCGGAUCGUAAAACUCUGUUAUUAGGGAAGAACAAAUGUGUAAGUAACUAUGCACGUCUUGACGGUACCUAAUCAGAAAGCCACGGCUAACUACGUG
rnacentral:rRNA from 1 species